GACGAAGGGGGCUAGCGUUGUUCGGAAUUACUGGGCGUAAAGCGUGCGCAGGCGGCGCCGCAAGUCAGGCGUGAAAUCCCCGAGCUUAACUUGGGAAUGGCGCUUGAAACUACGGUGCUGGAGUGUGGCAGAGGGAGGUGGAAUUCCACGUGUAGCGGUGAAAUGCGUAGAGAUGUGGAGGAACACCGAUGGCGAAGGCAGCCUCCUGGGCCAACACUGACGCUCAUGCACGAAAGCGUGGGGAGCAAACAGG
rnacentral:rRNA from 1 species